GACAGGACGGAAAGACCCCGUGGAGCUUUACUGCAGCCUGAUAUUGAAUGUUGGUACAGCUUGUACAGGAUAGGUAGGAGCCUUGGAAACCGGAGCGCCAGCUUCGGUGGAGGCAUCGGUGGGAUACUACCCUGGCUGUAUUGACCUUCUAACCCGCUGCCCUUAUCGGGCAGGGAGACAGUGUCAGGUGGGCAGUUUGACUGGGG
rnacentral:rRNA from 1 species